rnacentral:lncRNA from 10 species
AAAAUCAUGCCCACUAAGCAGAAGUGUUUAUUUGGCUAUUUGCGUCUUUCUUGAUGUCAGUUCUUGCAAAUUAAUUGAAAGGUUGCAUUUUAUGUUGAAUGUUCAGAACCUAUUGCACCUCUUCAUUUGGAAGAUUUUAAAACAAACAGGACAAUUAUUUUAAGUUGCACAUAUUAGAGUUCUUAAAAAAGAGGCUCAGUGUUUUUGACAACAAAAUCAUGUAACAAUGGAAAAACAUUUCCCAACAUCACUUUUCUUUAUGUAACAUGGAUUUCUUUCAUAUAGUAAUUAUUUUCUCAUCCCUUUUUUAAAAAAAGAAUAAAGUUGUAGAGUAGAGGAAGUAAGCAUUUCAUUUAACCUAAAUAUGUAUAUGAGCCUGUUUCUGUGCAUACAGCAAAAAUUUAAUAAAACAAUAGCUUUGCCUUUAUUAUAUAUGAUA